UUCCCGAUGGUUUAAUGGUAGAACACAAGUCUUUGACACUUGGAGUGAUCGUUCGAAUCGAUCUCGGGGAGCCA
rnacentral:tRNA from 1 species